CAGCCGCCACGGGAAUACGGAGGGUGCAAGCGUUAUCCGGAUUUAUUGGGUUUAAAGGGUCCGUAGGCGGACUUAUAAGUCAGUGGUGAAAGCCUGUCGCUUAACGAUAGAACUGCCAUUGAUACUGUAAGUCUUGAGUAUAUUUGAGGUAGCUGGAAUAAGUAGUGUAGCGGUGAAAUGCAUAGAUAUUACUUAGAACACCAAUUGCGAAGGCAGGUUACCAAGAUAUAACUGACGCUGAGGGACGAAAGCGUGGGUAGCGAACAGGAUUAGAUACCCGUGUAGUCCCUGUCUCUUAUAC
rnacentral:rRNA from 1 species